GUCCAGCUGACCAAUCUCAAAUAGGACGAAACGCAUGUCCUGAAU
rnacentral:hammerhead_ribozyme from 1 species